rnacentral:lncRNA from 1 species
AAAAAAAAAAAAAAAGAAAAGAUGAAGAAAAAGGAGGGCACCUCUCACCUUUGCUAGGAGUUUGCUCCUAACAUUCUCUUCUCUAAUGCUAGGGGUCCCAGUCCCCAUUCUCUCUCUUACAAAGGACCAUUCACUUUUCCUGUCGUCCCCUGACAAGACCUCCAGGAGCGAAAUUAAAGCAAUAAGAGCUAAACUGUCUGUGAUCGGAGAACAGAGAAUGUGAUAAUGAUAUAUAAAGCUUAAAAGCACUAAGUGGGCAAAACUGGUGCUAGAGAAGUGAGUAAAACCAAGACAAAUCCGUCCCUUGAGAGCUAUAACACAUAACUUAAAUAACCGGAGCAGCAGGGGUCCGUUAUCCCUUGGAAGAGCGGUUUGCACUCCCGUGGAGCACAGCCUCUGCCCAGCAUCCAUAAUUCCCCAUGUGCUUAGGACUGGUCACCACAGCCUCAGGGUUAACUGCUGGUUGGAUCAGGGUUUCUGCUGCCACCUGGGCACAUGCAGCCCACCCUAUCUGGCAGCAGACAUCUGAGGUCUAACCUCAGCAGUAAGAUGGACUGGAGAAAGAACUGCAUGGACACUGAGAGGACUCAGAUUUUGUUUUUGCCUCCACCCUUUUUGAGCUGUGUGACCUUGAUUAAGUUACAUCACCUUUCUGAAGAACCCUGUCUUUUUUUUAAAAAAAACUUUCUAUUUAAAGUUGUGGGUCUCAACAUGGGGUCCCUAGAGGAAAAGCAUCAGUAUCACUUGGGAACAUGUUAGAAAUGCAGAUUCUUGGGCCACACCGCAGACCCAUGAAACUAGAAACUCUGGGGGUGUCUCCUAGAAAUCUGUGUUUUAACGAGCCUUCUGGUACAUGCUGAGGUUCGGGAAUGAGUCUUUUAAGAAAAAUGAUCCCAACUUGUGUUUUUAUUCCCUGGCAUCCUUAACUCGUUAAUAAGGAGGGAAGGAGUUCAAUGUUAAUGGGAGCUAGCUGGGCUUCCAGGAAGUUCCUGGGCUAAGUCACAAGAGCUUUUGUUCCAGGAGACAUUUGGGGCAUGCUGAGGCAGGAGGAUCCCUUGAGUCUGGGAGGUUGAGGCUGCAGUGAGCUGUGAUCAAGCCACUGCGAAGUCUCCAUACCUCUCUAAGAUUCACUGCAGGUGUGUGUACUUCCUUCAUUCCAGGCCCAGCUGACUUUUUUCCCUUCCAUAGUCCUUUGCUCUUUCCCCCUUCCCUUCUCCCAGACACAAGAAAUGCUUUCAGUCUGGGAAAAGUUCAGGGAGGUGGGAACUUGUCUCUACCCAAUAGCAAUUUUUCUAUAUUUUGCAGAAUUUAUGCCCUAAUUCCUUUUAGCCGUGGGCUUUUGAAGCUCAAAAGCUCACGUUUGGAAACUCACAAUAUGAGGCAUUUGAAAUUUAAAGCCUUUUCCUUUGCUUUUCUGCAGCCCCUUUAUUAAGCAAAUAAAUGCUGUUAAAUCGAGUUGCUGCUGGAGUCAGGGAAAGGAAAGAGAGUGAGGAGUAAUGAGAGUGAUAUGGAGGAGAGAGUGCAGUCAAUGAUUUCAAAGGUAAAUGUCUUUCCACAUAAACUUGUGAUAUAAAUAAAGAGAGGAACAGGCAUUCUGCUGAACAUCUCUGGGCAACAUUACCCUUUAUUUAAAAAACUCUACACGCCUUAUUUUAUGGAGAGUUCUGGAACCCAAGAUAGGAAUGUCACUUAUGUGCAUAUUCUUACGCCAGCUUUCCUUCCCACAUACCAUUAUGAUAACUCUCCAUCCCUGUAAAUAACCAGGGGGUCUCUCUUCCUUCUGACCCUUGCACAACGUAGCUAGCUGGAGUGAUCCAUUUCUUCUUCUUCUUUUUUUUUUUUUUUUUUUUUUUUGAGAUGGAGUCUCGCUCUGUCACCCAGGCUGGAGCAAUCCAUUUCUAUCUUUCGUGACACCCGUCUGGUACUACUUUGAGAACUAGAUGAAAACUAGAAGUGCUUUUUGUCUAUUUAAAAACCUUAUUAUGCUGGUUUCAAUGUGUUUUUUGGUAGUUACAGUUCUGAGAAGUGUGGAUUUUGCAGUUCCACACUGUUAAGCAUGAUCUCACUGUUGUGUAUCUGGGUAAAAGGUGAUUUAAAGGCAUCGCAAGGAGCCAAGCUUCCAUCUGAUGAGAAAUGCAAAAAGACACAAGGGGGCCAUUCCUGGAAGUGUGAAACUCUAUGUUCAACAGGACCAAGAGACGAGUCGGUUGCAUAUUUACAUUUUACAUUUAUGUGAUGCAUUAGAAUUUAUAAAGCGUAUUCACAUGCAUUAAUCACUAAGAUGGAAUUUUAACAGGCAACUGGUACGAGCUGCAUUGGAAUAAGAGGGAUUGAUAGUAUUUAAGGACCAGUCAGAAGAGGACUGAUGGUAUUUAAGGACCAGUUACAAAACAGGCUGGUUGCAGUGACUCACACUUGUAAUUCCAGCACUUUGGGAGGCCGAGGCAGGAGGAUCACUUAAGCCCAGGAGUUCCAGAUCAGCCUGGGCAACAUAGUGAGACCUCCAUCUCUACAAAAAAUGUUUUAAAAAAUUAGCUGGGAACGGUGGCAUGUGCCUUUAGUUCCAGUUACCUGGGAGGCUGAGGCAGGAGGAUCACUUGAGUGCGGGGGGGGGUUGAGGCUGCAGAGAGCUACGAUCACACCACUGCACUCCAGCCUGGGUGACAGAUCCUGUCUCAAAAAAAAAACCAAAAACAAGCAGAAAGUGAAAAAAUAGUGACAGAGUAUAUUUCUUUGAAUCAUGCCUUCAAUUGCAUGUGCUCCUUGGUUAAGAACACUCAUUGAGGAUUAUAUUUAACUUUUCUGUUUUAUUUUAUAUAGAAAAACCCAUAUUAGAGCAAAAUAUACCUUAGUAGUGGUAAGCUGUGGUGACUCUAAUUAAUACUGCUUUCUAACUACUCUACAGGAAAAGUGAUCUACAGGGUUUACCUGUAGAAAUACAGCAGUGCCAUAGCCAGGCGUGGUGGCUCACACCUGUAACCCCAGCACUUUGAGAGGCUGAGGCAGGUGGAUCAUGAGGUCAAGAGAUCGAGACCAUCCUGGCCAACAUGGUGAAACCCCGUCUCUACUAAAAAUACAAAAAUUAGCUGGGCAUGGUGGCACCCACCUGUAGUCCCACCUACUUGGGAGGCUGAGGCAGGAGAAUCACUUGAACCCAGGAGGCAGAGAUUGCAGUGAGCCAAGAUCGCGCCAUUACACUCCAGCCUGGGCAACAGAGAGAGACUCCGCCCCCCCCCCCCAAAAAAAACAAAACAAAACAAAACAAAAAAAGCAGUGCCAUUAGGCACUAGUGCCAGAGUGGUUGCAUGCAUCUGGAUUCCCUGGAAAUUCCUGGGAGCGGGAGUGACAGAGCCCAGUCCUGUCACUGAGUGGGUUCUUAAGAUGACCACGGUUCCUGUUUUCCCACAGCCCUCUGUCAAGUCUUCACCGACGGGCAGACAGCACAGUUCACAUUUCAGUCACGGCACUGGCUUGCCCCUCUUGCUUGGCAGAGAAAGGACAGUGACUCCCUUACCUGGAAGGUUGUGCUCUUAUCUAACAGAAGGAAGGUGAAGAGGUGCAGAGCAGAGGAUGACAGCCGGGGGGCAACAUGACUUUUGCUGGAUGUGAGAAAUGCCAAGUCAGUCGCUAUACCGACCUUAGUUCUUCAGCCCCACGUCCCAUUUGAGACGCAUAUUCCUGCAUUCUAGGGAUACACCCAACUGACCUGUUUCAUGGAGGGAAAUUAGAGUUUGGCUUUGGCUGUCAGUUUCUGAAAGGAAUUAAAGGGUUUGCUCCUCAUCCUCCAUGCCGUGCUAUAAUACACCAAAAUGACCACCCGGCAGUUUGCAGCUGAACUCAGACAUCAUAUAGUCAGUUACAUCUCUCUCGUCAGAUAACAAAUGUCUUGGACCCCACUGUGGAGGGGUAAUUGGAAUUCAGCUACCGUGGGAACUCUACCUUAAUUGCCAUACAGGAUGACAACAAGGGAGCCCAAAUAGCAGAAUACAUCCCUGUAUCAUUUUUUUCUUGGCUUGGCAGAGGUGUGUGUAGUGCUGGUGUAUUAGGGUUCUCGAGAGGGACAGAACUAAUAGGAGAGAUGUAUAUAUAAAGGGGAGUUUAUUAAGGAGUAUUUACUCACACAAUCACAAAGUGAGGUCUUACAGUAUGUUGUCUGCAAGCUGAGGAGCAAGGAAGCCAGUCUUGAGUCCCAAAGCUGAAGGACGUGGAGUCUGAUGUUCAAGGGCAGGAAACAUCCAGCUCGGGAGAAAGAUGGAGGCCAGAAGACUAAACCCGUCUAUUCUCUCCAUGUUCUGCCUGCUUUUAUUCUGGCCACACUCACAGCUGAUUAGAUGGUGCCCAUCCAGAUUGAGGGUGGGUCUGCCUCUCCCAGUCCACUGACUCAAAUGUUAAUCUCCUUUGGCAACACCCUCACAGACACAUCCAGGAACAGUACUUCGCAUCCUUCAAUCCAAUCAAGUUGACACUCAAUAUUAACCAUCAUAGCUGGGUUCUGUCAGUUGCUCUCCCAGGACUUUCCAGGGAAUACAGAUUAGUAGAGAUAGAAGAAGAUAAGGAAAGACUAUUGCAUGGAAGAGUUGCCUUAGUGAUGAUGAAAUUGGAGGGAAAUAUGUAAUGCUGCUGUGUUGGAAUCUUCCCCAUGAAGAAUGCUUUCCCACCUUGGAUCUACAGAGAUGUCUUUUGUAAUAGGGUUUGGCAGAAAAAGCAACAGACUAGGAGUCAGGCGGUCUCUGCUUUGCUAUUUACAUCCACCUAAUUCGUAGAACCCAGACCCAACCUGCAAACUACUAAGUCCUGGCAAAACCGCAGCCAUUAGCAUGGGAUCCACAUUCCCAGUGCAUGUUUAGAUGGCCUUCUCUUCACCCUCUCUGAUUCCUGGUUAAUGUUUUCUUUGCCACCCUGACUUAUGAGUAUCAGGACUCAUGAGCAGCAAGAAAUAGAAAACCCAGCUCAGACUGACUCAGGCCAAAAAGGGUAUCCGUUGGCUUAUCUAAUUGUAGGCAUUGCUGGGUAUAAGGACUCCUUUGAUUUGAUUGGGACUCAGUUUCUUGCCAUCUCUCAGUUCUGAGUUCCUUUUCCUUGACUCCACUUUUUAGCAGGGUCUUUCCUCCUGAUGAUGAAAUAGUUGCCAGAGAUGCUAAGCUUAUAUCCUCUAAAGCUUCAACUUCAGUAAAACAGAGAGCCAACUUCUGUUUCAGCAAUGUCAGUAGUGUGUGUCACUAGCUUUGGAAGGGUGAUUCUCCUGAUUUGGGACUAGAUCAAAUGUUCCCCCCAGCGAGGUGUGGUGGCUCAUGCCUGUAAACCCAGCACUUUUGGAGGCCGAGGCAGACAGGUCACUUGAGGUCAGGAGUUUGAGACCAGCCUGGCCAACAUGGUGAUAACCUAUCUCUACUAAAAAUACAAAAAUUAGCCGGGCAUAGUGGUGGGCACCUGUAAUUCCAGGUACUUGGGAGGCUGAGGCAGGAGAAUCGCUUGAACUUGGGAGGAGGAUGUUUCAGUGAGCUGAGAUCACGCCACUGUACUCCAGUCUGGGUGACACGGCGAGACUCUGUCUCCAAAAAAAAGUACCCCCGCCCCACCUCUGCAGGAGAGGAAGCCCCACUCGAAUCACUUGGGUUAAAAGUAGGGGAAGGGUUAAUCUCAGGUGAAAAGGAGGUAGUACUGUUGCAAGAAGAGGGACUGGAUAGAUGUGGGUGACCCAACCAUAACUACCUACUCUCCCUCAGCUCCCAAAACAUAGCUCAAGCGUUCCUCAGUAGCAGGAAUUUUACAAAACACUGCUGCAAGUUCCAAUAAGAGGUAUGUUGCAAAUACCUAAAAUUAGCUGGAAUUUGUAACGAGUUUUUAUUUUUAAAAAUAAGUUAGAGUGGAUUCAGAGUUAUCCUGGUAAAGCUUUCAGUGAUGGAUAUGUGAGCAUUUUAAUACGGUUGGCUCUAUUUGUGUAAAACUUUGAAAAUUUUCACAACAAAAAAGGUAUCCCCUAAAGAAUAUCAAUUUUACUCAUUUGUUUUCCAAAACACUUUUUUUUAUAUGGGAGGUAGGUUGUCAGAGAAGGGGUGCUCAGGCCUGCUUGUUAGACUAGAGAAGGCUUCCUGGCCAAGUGACAGCUCAGGAUGUGGGAAGUAGUAACAGCCAAGUGAGUGCAUUUUUUUUUUAAGAGAUGGGAUCUCACUCUGUCACCCAGGCUGGAGUGCAGUGGCACAAUCACAGCUUACUGCAGCCUUGACUUCCUAGGGUCAAGCCAUCUUCCCACCUCAGCCAUUCUAGUAGCUGGGACUAUAGGCACACCACACCACCUGGCUAAUUUUUUAUUUUUUGUAGAGAUGGGGUCUUGCUAUGUUGUCCAGGCUGGUCUUGAGACCAGAACUCCUGACCUCAGGUGAUCCUCCCACCUCUGCCUCCCAAAGUUCUAGGAUUAUAAUUAUGAGCCACCACACCUGACCUGCAUUUUGAAUACAAUAUGAGAAGGGCUUUGUAAACUGUAAAGUGCCAUAAAAGUAUUGUAAGUAUGUGGUGGAAGAAUAUUUUUGAAAUAUUAACAUGAUUUUCCCCUCAGCUUUUUUUCCCAUUCUUACUGCCUUUGUUUUCUCCUCACUCAGCUAAGCCAAUCUAUAUUCAUUCUAUCAGGAGGAAGACUAUGACAGCAGGAGAAAGAACAAAGAAUCUUCUAAGGGGCACAGAAAAGAGAGAGUUAUUAAGUCUUCCCCACCACCAGACUAGUAAAAAGAUUCCCUAGACUGGGAGAACAGAGAGAGCCAGAAGUUCUAUGCCUGAAGCUUUCCAAUGACAAAAUAAGAAUUCCCCAUGGCAGGUGAAUGGGUAAAUGAUGGAAGUGUCCUAUGCAUGAAUUAUUAUGUAGCCUUUAAAACGAAUGCAUUAAAUCUAUGCCAGUUCAUUUGGAGGGGGCUUCUGGUUUACAACACCAGCGAGAUGUAGACAAAGAUGCUACAAAAUUCCUUUUUGUAGAACAAAUGAUGCCCAGCCCCCAUUAUUAACAUAGACAUUUGCAUGUUUGCAUACAGUUGCAUGAGCAUGGGCAAAAAGUAUGAAAAGAUACACUUUGCUUCCUAACACUAUUUACCUGGGGAGAGAAAAUAAGUGGGAGGAAUAGAAACUUAAAAAGUAUGCACAAUAAAAAAGCAUUUGUGGCAAUUCCAUUUAUGUGAUAUUCAUAUGUAUACAUACGUGUGUGAAUGCGUAUGUGUGUAUGAAAAGAUUACCACCAACUCAAAUGGUACAGAUAUGUAUGAAGAAACUCAAGAUAAAUAAUAGUAACAUUUUGAUUAUUGAGUUUCCUUAUAGUUAUCUAAAUUGUUCAAAUUAUUUUCUCAAGCUUCAUGUAUUUUCCCACUUUUAAGCAGGCAAUAACAGAAACUAUCUUAAAGAUAACACAUUUAAAUUUACUGACACACAGUAGGCACCUAAUAAAUAGUUUAAAGAAAAUAAGUAUAAUUCUCAAAAUUCAAUAAAGAUCUUGUCAUUGUGGAGACAAAAAGAACCACGCUUGGAGAGAAGCCAGAGAUAGCUGAGAAGAUGCUCACUCUGUCUUCUCCUUGAAAGAAAAGCCAACACAGAUUUAAGAGGUCCAAAAAUGAUAGAGAGGAAGAGAGAGAGAGAGAAAGAUUUUCAACCUGCUGCUUUUCAACCAAAACAUUGCAGCAAGGGCUGCAAGCCACAUACGUGGAAUAUACUGAGAAUUUAGCAUCUGAUCAUGAGCAAACUCAGAGACAUGGAUGGUCCUUCCUGCUACUUCUUUGAGUUUGCAGGGCUUGGAGGCUGUAGCAGUGAGUGGUGCUGCUGUCCUAAUGUCCUGACUAUACCGGGAGCCACUCUUCGAUCAUUCUUCUGUCCAUUCAGAUGAGUAGAGAUGGGCUGCAUGAACGGUUUUAUCCCCAGGAUCAAGUGGAGCAUCUGGCAUGGAACAGCCAGCCACUCAAUGCGAGGGGCUUUGUGGAGAGCUGUCCAUCAUCCUUGCCUGCCCAAGGACAAUGACUUCUCAGCUUUCACCAUGCAUCCUGCAGCCAUGGAGGGAAGCAAAAUUAACUGGUCUCCAUCAGCCUCCCCAUCAAACAUUUGCUGAGCACCCAUCAUGUGCAAAAUAUUGACUAGGAACUGUGGGAGAUGGGAAGAAUUCUGGAAACUCCUAACUCUCAAGGAAUUUGCAGGGUUAUCAGACAGUUGCCACACAAAGACAUAAAAACAUCCCCUGCUAAAAUAAAGACCACGCCAGAUAUGUGCUGUAGGUAUUCACCCCUGCAGGAACUCUGGGGAAAAUGGGGCAGGAGGAGUCACCCUUGGAUGUCACAAAUGGCUCUCCAAAGGAAAUAGAACAACAUCGCAGCAUGAAUUCUGAAGCCGGCCCACCUGCCUGCCUUGAAUUACAGCUUCCACCAGCUGUCUGGCCUUGGACAAACUACUUAACUCUCCACAUCUGUCAAAUGGGGAUAAUAAUAUAACAAUCCCCCAAUAUUGUGAGGAUGAAAUAAGCUAAUACUUAGGAAAAGCUUGGAACAGUGCUUGGCACGUCUUAAGUGUGAUAUGUGUGAGCUCCUUCCUUGAUUCUCAUUCUGACUUGAAGAGGAUUUUUAGAGGGGAGACCCAGGGAACAGUGGGGCAGCCUAGACGGGUGGAAAGUGUUAUGCUGGAGGCUUAACCUAACCUGGUUCAAAACCUGGUUCUGCUAUUUCUACCAGUGUGACCUUGACUUAAACUCUCCAAAGCUCAGUUCCUCACUUAUAAAAUGGUAAUAACAAAACCAAUUUCAUUGAAAACGUAUGCUAACGAUGCCAUGAUAAAUAAUAGUUAUUAUUAAAGAGAAACACAGUAAAGAAGUUCCCAGAGGGAGGUGAAUAAAUUAAGCAUGAUGACGUGCCUUGCUACUUCCCCAUCUUUCUCUUCUUCCCCCAGAUUUGUUCAAGGUCUCAUCAUUACUGGUUUGCAUUUCUAUUUUAAUCAUGUUAUAGGUUUACAGUAUUUUUCCCCCUGCAUCUUUAUAUGCUAUAAUUUGGGUACUAUUUUUACACAACGAAGCCAUUUUUAACCGAGAACAGAUUCAAUUGUCUUUCAGCAUAUAUCAUUGUUUAUCUUAAUUAAUGCUAAAAUAUUCUUAGGGGGAAAAACACAUCCCACAGAGUAUUAUGCGAAGAAACUUAGCAUUCAUUUUUGCCUCCCUCUUUUCUGGCAUAUCAAUUUAUAAAGGUUUUAGCAUCCUGUUAUUUCAAUGACAAUAAUGCAUGCUCUUAAACGCAGACACCCAUCUGUGGGAAGCAAGUCACAGGGUGUCAACAGCAGCAAGGUGUGUGUUGCAGUGGAGGUGGAGGAUUGACAGCUGGAAGAAGAAGGGGAUUUUGCUGGUGAGAAUAAUGCCAAGUGAAGUCAUAGGCUUUGUCUCUGAUUGAUCCAUGGAAACAUUCCUUGAGUAGAGCUGAAUCUAGCUAGAUUCCAUGCUUGGAGUCUUUCUUAGUAAGGCUACUACUAUAAGCACAGAUGAUGGAAAAUGGAUGAUGUUUUUAUUCAUCAUCCAUUCUCUUUCCUUCAAAUAAGAUGCCCCAUGCACCUCUGAGGGAAUGACCCUUUACACACUCAACCUAAGUUUUUUGCCUCUCCCUCCAGCUCUAGGGUGGGCAUGUGAUAUAGAACUGACCAAUCAAUAUCUAUUAUCUUUCUGGCCACAGUGAUUGGGCAAGGGAUAGCCAUGUGACCCAAUCAGAGCCAAGAGACUCAGUUUUGAGGCUUUAGAUAGAACCACUGGGAAAGAGGGUUCUCUUUCUACUGGGAUGCUGACCUGGCAGGAAUAUUACCCAGAGCUGCCUGUGACCAUCUUUACUAUGAAAAGGGGAGAGCUUGCCAAAGAAUGAAGCUGUAUUAUAGUCUGUUCUCAUGCUGCUAAUAAAGACAUACCUGAGAUGGGGUAAUUUAUAAAGGAAAGAGGUUUAAUGGACUCAAAGUUCCACAUGUCUGGGGAGGCCUCACAAUCAUGGCAGAAGGCAAACGAGGAGCAAAGUCACGUCGUACAUGGUGGAAGGCAGGAGAGCGUGUGCAGGGAAACUCCCCUUCAUAAAACUAUCAGAUCUCGUGAGACUUACGAGAACAACACAGGAAAGACCCGCCCCCAUGAUUCAUUUACCUCCCACUGGGUCCCUCCCAUGACACAUGGGAAUUAAGGGAGCUACAAUUCGAGAUGAGAUUUAGGUGGGGACACAGCCAAACCAUAUCAGAAGCCAAUAUGAAAGAAAACAGAACUGAGAGAUGGAGGCAGACUCUUGAUGACAACUCCUGGACCCUGGAUCAAUUUUUGUUUAAAGCCAGUCUGCACUCUGCAUCUUUGAUGUAAACCAAUGUAUUUCCUUUAUUUGUUUGUUUAAACUAAAUUAAGUCAUUUGUAAUUUAAAGAGUUCAGAGAGGUGCCGUGUUUCAGUAGGGAACUGUAAAAAGCCAGGAUAUUCUGUAAAUUAGAAGGGAAUAAUGUGGUGUUGACCACAUCUGGGAGAAUGUGCAUCUGAGGGUGUCUUGCAUGCCAAACUCACUUGUCUUCCUAAUCAAGCAAUAGUUUGGUAACUGAGAAGUUCCAAGUAGCCUUUAAGUCACACAAUCAUACUAGAGGAACUCCUAAGAACCUGGGUGACAUUGUGAUAUAAAAUGUGGAACUUCACUAGGUUAUGCAAGAACCUCUGAAAAGGGUUGAUAGGAAGGGUGUACGUUAGGUGUGUAAAGAACUAGGUGUGGGGGAACUAACUAGUACAAAAGGGAUCUGGUGAAUUUGGAUUCUACCCUACUCGAGAUGAUGUUGGAGGGCUCUGAUCAAAGUAGGGGUUUGGGGGCAGAAUUAUGACAAGUAUCUAUAGGAAGUCACUAUCUUUUAUUAAAAAUUUGUUGUGAACCUGUCCUCACUCAUAGUUGGGAAUUGAACAAUGAGAACACAUGGACACAGGAAGGGGAACAUCACACUCUGGGGACUGUUGUGGGGAGGGGGGAGGGAUAGCAUUAGGAGAUAUACCUAAUGCUAAAUGACGAGUUAAUGGGUGCAGCACACCAGCAUGGCACAUGUAUACAUAUGUAACUAACCUGCACAUUUGUGCACAUGUACCCUAAAACUUAAAGUAUAACAAAAAAUUUGUUGUGAACCAGAUACUGUACUAAAUGACUUACCUACACUGUUGUAUUUAAUUCUCUCAACAACCUGAUGAGUUCUGUAUCUUAUUAUAUCCAUUUUACAUGUAAGGGAGCUGAGGCUUAGAAAGCUGGAGUGACUUGGUCUGCCAUGGCUAGGAUUUCAGCUCAUGUCUGUAUGACUCGAAAGCAUCUAGUGGGUGGUAACAUUGGUUUGUAGACUUGAAACAACUUUGGCUAAUGACUGGGGCACAUGGAAGAGGGGACAGAGUCCAGCUUCCAAAGUUAGAAGGCUACCAAAACUAAGGUUUUGGUCAGAGAUUCAACAUUCCAGGGGCAGACCCUGAUCCCAAUGGGAGAGUAGAUUUGAUAGGGAAACUGAGGCAGGAUCCUGGGACUGGAGCCAACACAGGGAGCAUUAGUUGGGAGGGUUGUUGUGACCAGUCAACAUACUUCUGGGGGCUUGUGGCAAAGAACAAACACAGAACUCCAAAUGAAUUCCCUGCCAGAGCUUGUUCAGAGUUGGCUUGGGAUAGGAGAAUCUGAGGGGAGUAUGAGGCUGACAGAGAAAAAAGAGAGUCUUGUGGAAUCCUAAGAUUUAAAAAGAGAGGAAGAAAAGAUGCCUUUUAUUUAUUAAACAGUGAUUACGAAAUACCUAACACAUGGCCACGAUUAGACUAGGCUCUUCCCAUACAUGAAGCUCAGAGAGGUCAAGUGAGUUGUUCAGGGUAACACAGGAGCUGUGCCUGGGUAUGAAGCUGUAUCUGCUCAAACAUAAAGGUCUUUUCAUGGUGCCAGAGUCUACAUUUCCCAGAGUACUAAGAUAGUGACUUGAUCAUCAGCACUAAAUAUGUGUCGUAAAGAUAGCUCACAUUUACAGAUAUUAUAGCUACUCUGUGCCCUGCAAGGUGCUAACGACUUUACUUGGAUUAUCUCAACUUAUCCCCCAGACAACCUAUGACGUUUAGCCAGGCAUCAUCAUCAUCAUCAUCAUCAUCAUAUCAUCGUUAUCCUCAUCCUCAUCCUCAUCAUUGUUCUUGAAUGAUGAAAAUUGGAGCUCAGAAACUCAACCUGUGUCAAGAUUACAAAGCUAGCAAUUCUGGGUCAGAACCUGAACCCAGGCAGCCCGCACUUUCGAUGUGCCCAAGCUUAUAUCUCCACCUACAACUCUGCCUCAGUUUCUCCCUCUGUAAAAUGAAGACAGUAAUAAGGCACCUCACAAGGUUAUUGUGAGAACAAAAUGAACCGCUGCAUACUAGGAGCUUAACAGACUGGCAAAGAAAACUCCAUCAAUGUUGGCUUUCAUCGGGGCUAUUUUAAUUUUUGCAUCACCCUCUUCAAAAGGGCACUUCUCGCUUUCCCACGGCUAAGCUGCCACACUCAAGUGUGCUGGAAAAAAAGGCUGGGUAGCUCACAACGUGCGGGGGCAUCUUAGUGUAAUCCUGGGGUGAGAGAUAAAAGAAGCUCGCUUGACAUAACUUCAUAAACCCAUUUUAAUCUAAACAUUGAUUUUCCUUUGGAACAAUCCCUUUCCCCUUGCUCACAGUCCCACCACGCCUCUAAUACAGACGUGGGUAUUGAUAACAUUAUUGAGAUAAAACAGUCGCCUCUUUCUUAUUCCCUUUAUUCAUCAGUCACCCCAGGCCUGUCUUUGUCUUUUUUCAUCCUCUGCUACCCAGCAUUAUUCAUUGGAGUGCCUUCUUUUCCCUCACCCUCCAUAACUCAAGGUGAAAGUUUUCAGUAAUGACAAGUAGUAAAAUAUGAGAGAUUUAAGCAAAUUCAACUGGAAAUAAUGUGAAAAAAUAUUAUUCGCUCCGGACACAUGCUUCUCUUUUGAUCUUCCUUGUCCAAGAUACAUUUUAAAAAAAAUACUCCUUUGAUAACAAGAAGUGAGCAGGGGCUAAAAGGAAACCUUAUGUCUUUGUUGGGAAAUAAUUAGUCUGAUCGAAUCGCUUGCUUUCUGAUGGACAAAGGAGUCUUUAAAGAAAAUCAUUUGUGUUCUCUGGGCCCCUUCAGGCAGCACAGCUUUCCGAGGCUUGGGCUUUUAGAUGAGAGUUUGGGGAAUGGAAAAUUUCCCUGAAUAAGAAAUCAGAGAGCUUGACCUACACAGUUACCUCUCUCUUAACAUGACAACAAUUGGCAAUUACUUUUUGAUCCAAAGUGUGAGGAUGAAUAUGGAAAGGAAGGGCGAAUCAUUCUCCUUCUUCUCAAGCUCAUUCUCUCUUUAGACCUGCACCUGAAGCUGAUUUUCUUUUCUUUUUUUUUUUUUUCCAGUCCCAGCAAUUCAAUAUAAUCUAUAGCUGGAAAUACCUAUGUUAGCUGCAGCUGGGGGAAAAAGCAGUUGGCAAAUUCAUGAAUCAGGGCUUCUUUUCUUUUUCGCUUGUGAAAGGUAACUUCCGACAGCUUAAGGGUGAUUUGGAAUGAAGCGUGGGUUGGUUCCUAGUGUCAGCACAUUGCCUAGUUGUUCCAGCCAGGCUGGCUGUAAUGAAGCGUGGACAUCCAUACAUAGUUUCAGUGUCAGGGACACCGGUGACUCUAAUGAAGAGAGGACCUUAACUUUGAUGCAGAAUCAUGAUUGUUUAUAGCUGUGUGGUGAAGAAUGGGCUCUGAAAUCCAUCGCACUUCGGUGAAAAUGCUGUUUGGUCUGCAAUGUGAAGCUGAUAGCUUAAUUUCUCUGAUACUCAGUGUCUUUACCUGUAAAAUGGUGCCAAUAUCAAAGUAGCUGUCUGGUAUAGCAGGGUUUCUUAAUCUUGGCAUUAUCAACAUUUGGGGCCAGGACAUUCUUCAUGGUGAGGGGCUGCCCUGGGCAUUGUAGGGUGUUUAGCAGCAUCGUUAGCUUCUACCCACUAGAUGCCAGUAGCACUCUCCCCCCACCCCAUUAUGACAACAAAAAUCGUCUCCAGACACUGCCAGUGUCCCCUGGGAGGCGCAAUCCCUCCUCCCUCCCCUCACCGAAAGCCGCUGCCAUGGAGCUAUUGUGAGAAUGAAAUGAAAUAAUCCAUACAAUGCUCUCAGCACUGUUUAGUAGACAGUACAUAGUAAAUGCUCAAUACGAAUUAGUUGUUACUCAGACACCAAGAGGGUAACAACAGGCGCACAGACACUGGGGCCUAUUUGAGGGUGGAGGAUGAGAGGAGGGAGAGGAGCAGAAAAAAUAACUAUUGGGUACUAGGCUUAGUACCUGGGUGAUGAAAUCACAAACCCUAGUGGCACAAGUUUACCUAUAGAACCAACCUGCACAUGUACAUCUGAAUCUAAAAUAAAAGUUUGAAAAAUGAAUAAAUAACUAUUACUUGUUACUGUAUUAAUAAAACUGUCAAU